rnacentral:lncRNA from 1 species
CCUAUCUUUUAGUAGGUAAUCAUAAAGUCACAUGAGAGAACAUUUGUUUUUUACUCUUAAGGAAGAAAAACAUCCUGAUGACAUUUCUGCAUGCGUGGUUUUGGACCUUCUAGGUUUGAUCACUUCAUGAUGUGACGGUGAUGUGACCACAAAGAUCACUCCAGUGUUGAGUGCAGCGCAUAGCUGCCCACAUCAUGGAAGGCUUGCAGAAGAAGGUAAUCCUUCAGCUAUUGUUAUUUAGAGAGGAAUUGGAAUCACCCUUGCAAACAGAUGAGAAGGCAGGUCACCUUCCCAAAGGUACAGACUGAAUAGAACACGUACAGAGAAGAGACAUGUCAGGAGUGAAUUGACAAAAAAGACUUUCUGCAUAUCCUGCUGCUCUGCCUAGGAGGUGAAGAGGAAUAAUCUUCUUGCAAACCACAGGAAGCAGGUUAUAGUUUUUUACUACCAGAAAGAUCUGAAAACUUUGUGAAAAUGGUACUGUUUAAUACUUUUCUGUGACAAAGGUUAGCUUCUACAUGUGUGUGUUGGUUGAAUAAAACAUUUUCCUAUUAAAGUGAUACGCUUCA